rnacentral:lncRNA from 1 species
UUUGGUAUGACCGAUAUAUAAGCUUAUUACAAUUUAAAUUCGAUAUCUCUAAUUCAUUUAUAUGUAAACACAAUUAAUUACGCUAUUCUAUUCGAACUAAGUGCAUGAGAAAAGGUAUAAAAGCAUAAUGGUCAUAGAUAGACUGAUAGGUCCACGAUAUGUAAAGAGCUAAUAAUCGCCAGAGUCCACAAAUCCCAGAGUCGGCUGGCUACGUGUGUACAGCUUGAUAUUUUAUAUUCA